rnacentral:rRNA from 1 species
UACGUAGGGUGCGAGCGUUGUCCGGAAUUAUUGGGCGUAAAGAGCUUGUAGGCGGUCUGUCGCGUCUGCUGUGAAAAUCCGGGGCUCAACCCCGGACUUGCAGUGGGUACGGGCAGACUAGAGUGUGGUAGGGGAGACUGGAAUUCCUGGUGUAGCGGUGAAAUGCGUAGAUAUCUGGAGGAAUACCGGUGGCGAAGGCGGCAUCCUGGACCGGCAUUGACGCUGAACAGCGAAAGCUAGGGGAGCAAACGGG